rnacentral:rRNA from 1 species
GACGAACGCUGGCGGCGUGCUUAACACAUGCAAGUCGAACGAAGAGCGAUGGAAGCUUGCUUCUAUCAAUCUUAGUGGCGAACGGGUGAGUAACGCGUAAUCAACCUGCCCUUCAGAGGGGGACAACAGUUGGAAACGACUGCUAAUGCCGCAUACGAUCUGACCUCGGCAUCGAGGAUAGAUGAAAGGUGGCCUCUAUUUAUAAGCUAUCACUGAAGGAGGGGAUUGCGUCUGAUUAGCUAGUUGGAGGGGUAACGGCCCACCAAGGCGAUGAUCAGUAGCCGGUCUGAGAGGAUGAACGGCCACAUUGGGACUGAGACACGGCCCAGACUCCUACGGGAGGCAGCAGUGGGGAAUCUUCCGAAAUAGACGAAAGUCUGACGGAGCAACGCCGCGUGAGUGAUGACGGCCUUCGGGUUGUAAAGCUCUGUUAAUCGGGACGAAAGGCCUUCUUGCGAAUAGUUAGAAGGAUUGACGGUACCGGAAUAGAAAGCCACGGCUAACUACGUG